rnacentral:lncRNA from 1 species
UUUUUCUUCUCAUUAUGUACUUAGGUACUUUGACUGAACAGAUUUGUAUUGACUUCCUAGAACCUUUCCAUUGUCCACUGAGAGGGUUUAAAACAUUUUGUUAAGACAUCUGUUGCUUGUUUAAACCAUGUAUUUUAUGUAUCUCAUUUUUAUAUGUGUCUUCAAGUUGCUGUCAUUGAUAUUAAGGCUAAAUAAAAAUUAUGUGUGUUUUCUAUUCCCCUACCUACCCUAUUUUUUGAGCUUAGAAAUAGCCUAAUGUUACCUUAAAGUUUGUUUGAUCAUUUUUCAAUAAGCACUGUUAUUUAUUUUUUUGUUUAUUUACUGUUUUUGUUGUUGUUAUACUGUUGUCUUGUUCAUGUUUUUUGUGUAAAUAAUGUAUAUUUCUUCGUUUGUUCUUAUCCGUAUGUACUUAUAGGUGCUUUGACUGAACACAUUUUUAUUGUCCUUCUAGAACCUUUUCAUUGUCCACUGAGAGGGUUUAAAACAUUUUGUUAAGACAUCUGUUUCUUGUUAAAACCAUGUACUUAUCUUAUUUGUAUAUGUGUCUUCAAGUAGCUGUCAUUGACAUUUAGGGCAAAUAAAAAAUUAUGUGUUUUCUAUUUAGCUACCUACCCUAUGUUUUAAGCUUAGAAAUAGCCUACCAUUAAUUUUUGGGUCAUUUUUCAAUAAGCACUGUUAAAGUUAGAAUU